GAUGAACGCUGGCGGCGUGCCUAAUACAUGCCAGUCGAGCGAACGGACGAGAAGCUUGCUUCUCUGAUGUUAGCGGCGGACGGGUGAGUAACACGUGGAUAACCUACCUAUAAGACUGGGAUAACUUCGGGAAACCGUAGCUAAUACCGGAUAAUAUUUUGAACCGCAUGGUUCAAAAGUGAAAGACGGUCUUGCUGUCACUUAUAGAUGGAUCCGCGCUGCAUUAGCUAGUUGGUAUGGUAACGGCUUACCAAGGCAACGAUGCAUAGCCGACCUGAGAGGGUGAUCGGCCACACUGGAACUGAGACACGGUCCAGACUCCUACGGGAGGCAGCAGUAGGGAAUCUUCCGCAAUGGGCGAAAGCCUGACGGAGCAACGCCGCGUGAGUGAUGAAGGUCUUCGGAUCGUAAAACUCUGUUAUUAGGGAAGAACAUAUGUGUAAGUAACUGUGCACAUCUUGACGGUACCUAAUCAGAAAGCCACGGCUAACUACGUG
rnacentral:rRNA from 1 species